CUUAGAAGCAGCCACUCAUUAAAAGAGUGCGUAAUAGCUCACUGGUCGAGUGACUUUGCGCGGAAAAUUUAACGGGGCUAAAAUACACACCGAAGCUUGGGCUUGACGCAUUGCGUCAGGGGUAGGGGAGCGUCGUGUAAGGGGCGAAGUCGUAUCGUAAGGGACGGUGGACUUUACACGAGUGAGAAUGCCGGAAUGAGUAGCGAGAAUUAUGUGAGAAUCAUAAUGGUCGAAAGCCUAAGGUUUUUGGAGGAAGGUUCGUCCGCUCCAAGUAAGCCGGGAGCUAAGGUCAGGCGGAAACGCGUAGCCGAUGCACAUACGGUUGAAAUUCCGUAGCCUCAGAAAGAUUUAAGCAGAGGGACACUUUGAAAGGACUGUAGCCGGGUGUUGGUUACCCCGGUCGUAAGGGAACGAAAUUAAGUAGUGAAGGCAGUCUGGACGGAGGCGAGAAAAGCUCUGUGUAUAUCUAAUGAGCCCGUACCGCAAACCGACACAGGUAGGUGGGAUGAGAAUUCUAAGACCAACGGGAGAAGGGUAGUUAAGGAACUCGGCAAAUUGUCCCCGUAACUUCGGAAUAAGGGGAGCCUGCGAAAGCAGGCCGCAGAGAAUUGGCCCAGGCGACUGUUUAUCAAAAACACAGCUCUAUGCUAAAUCGAAAGAUGACGUAUAUGGGGUGACACCUGCCCGGUGCUGGAAGGUUAAGAGGAGAUGUGAGAGCAUUGAAUUGAAGCCCCAGUAAACGGCGGCCGUAACUAUAACGGUCCUAAGGUAGCGAAAUUCCUUGUCAGGUAAGUUCUGACCCGCACGAAUGGUGUAACGAUCUGGGCACUGUCUCGACUACCCGCCCGGCGAAAUUGUAGUACCGGUGAAGAUGCCGGUUACCCGCGACUAGACGGAAAGACCCCAUGGAGCUUCACUGCAGCUUAAUAUUGGAUUUCGGUAUUUCAUGUACAGGAUAGGUGGGAGACUGGGAAAUACAGGCGUCAGCUUGUAUGGAGUCAUUGUUGGGAUACCACUCUUGAGGUGCUGGAAUUCUAACCUGUGGCCUUGAAUCAGGUCAGGGGACAUUGUUAGGCGGGCAGUUUGACUGGGGCGGUCGCCUCCUAAAAGGUAACGGAGGCGCUCAAAGGUU
rnacentral:rRNA from 1 species